rnacentral:rRNA from 1 species
CAGUAGCUGGUCUGAGAGGACGACCAGCCACACUGGGAGUGAGACACGGCCCAGACUCCUACGGGAGGCAGCAGUGGGGAAUUUUGGACAAUGGGGGCAACCCUGAUCCAGCAAUGCCGCGUGAGUGAAGAAGGCCUUCGGGUUGUAAAGCUCUUUUGUCAGGGAAGAAACGGUAGUAGCGAAUAACUAUUACUAAUGACGGUACCUGAAGAAUAAGCACCGGCUAACUACGUGCCAGCAGCCGCGGUAAUACGUAGGGUGCAAGCGUUAAUCGGAAUUACUGGGCGUAAAGCGUGCGCAGGCGGUUGUGUAAGUCAGAUGUGAAAUCCCCGGGCUCAACCUGGGAAUUGCAUUUGAGACUGCACGGCUAGAGUGUGUCAGAGGGGGGUAGAAUUCCACGUGUAGCAGUGAAAUGCGUAGAUAUGUGGAGGAAUACCGAUGGCGAAGGCAGCCCCCUGGGAUAACACUGACGCUCAUGCACGAAAGCGUGGGGAGCAAACAGGAUUAGAUACCCUGGUAGUCCACGCCCUAAACGAUGUCUACUAGUUGUCGGGUCUUAAUUGACUUGGUAACGCAGCUAACGCGUGAAGUAGACCGCCUGGGGAGUAC